GACGAACGCUGGCGGCGUGCCUAAUACAUGCAAGUAGAACGCUGAAGAGAGGAGCUUGCUCUUCUUGGAUGAGUUGCGAACGGGUGAGUAACGCGUAGGUAACCUGCCUUGUAGCGGGGGAUAACUAUUGGAAACGAUAGCUAAUACCGCAUAACAAUGGAUGACACAUGUCAUUUAUUCGAAAGGGGCAAUUGCUCCACUACAAGAUGGACCUGCGUUGUAUUAGCUAGUAGGUGAGGUAACGGCUCACCUAGGCGACGAUACAUAGCCGACCUGAGAGGGUGAUCGGCCACACUGGGACUGAGACACGGCCCAGACUCCUACGGGAGGCAGCAGUAGGGAAUCUUCGGCAAUGGGGGCAACCCUGACCGAGCAACGCCGCGUGAGUGAAGAAGGUUUUCGGAUCGUAAAGCUCUGUUGUAAGUCAAGAACGAGUGUGAGAGUGGAAAGUUCACACUGUGACGGUAGCUUACCAGAAAGGGACGGCUAACUACGUGCCAGCAGCCGCGGUAGUACGUAGGUCCCGAGCGUUGUCCGGAUUUAUUGGGCGUAAAGCGAGCGCAGGCGGUUUGAUAAGUCUGAAGUUAAAGGCUGUGGCUCAACCAUAGUUCGCUUUGGAAACUGUCAAACUUGAGUGCAGAAGGGGAGAGUGGAAUUCCAUGUGUAGCGGUGAAAUGCGUAGAUAUAUGGAGGAACACCGGUGGCGAAAGCGGCUCUCUGGUCUGUAACUGACGCUGAGGCUCGAAAGCGUGGGGAGCGAACAGGAUUAGAUACCCUGGUAGUCCACGCCGUAAACGAUGAGUGCUAGGUGUUGGAUCCUUUCCGGGAUUCAGUGCCGCAGCUAACGCAUUAAGCACUCCGCCUGGGGAGUACGACCGCAAGGUUGAAACUCAAAGGAAUUGACGGGGGCCCGCACAAGCGGUGGAGCAUGUGGUUUAAUUCGAAGCAACGCGAAGAACCUUACCAGGUCUUGACAUCCCGAUGCUAUUUCUAGAGAUAGAAAGUUACUUCGGUACAUCGGUGACAGGUGGUGCAUGGUUGUCGUCAGCUCGUGUCGUGAGAUGUUGGGUUAAGUCCCGCAACGAGCGCAACCCCUAUUGUUAGUUGCCAUCAUUCAGUUGGGCACUCUAGCGAGACUGCCGGUAAUAAACCGGAGGAAGGUGGGGAUGACGUCAAAUCAUCAUGCCCCUUAUGACCUGGGCUACACACGUGCUACAAUGGUUGGUACAACGAGUUGCGAGUCGGUGACGGCAAGCUAAUCUCUUAAAGCCAAUCUCAGUUCGGAUUGUAGGCUGCAACUCGCCUACAUGAAGUCGGAAUCGCUAGUAAUCGCGGAUCAGCACGCCGCGGUGAAUACGUUCCCGGGCCU
rnacentral:rRNA from 1 species